rnacentral:rRNA from 1 species
CCUACGGGAGGCAGCAGUGAGGAAUAUUGGUCAAUGGCCGUAAGGCUGAACCAGCCAAGUCGCGUGAAGGAAGAAGGAUCUAUGGUUUGUAAACUUCUUUUAUAGGGGAAUAAAGGUAUCCACGUGUGGAUCUUUGCAUGUACCCUAUGAAUAAGCAUCGGCUAACUCCGUGCCAGCAGCCGCGGUAAUACGGAGGAUGCGAGAGUUAUCCGGAUUUAUUGGGUUUAAAGGGUGCGUAGGUUGUUUUUUAAGUCAGCGGUGAAAGUUUGUGGCUCAACCAUAAAAUUGCCGUUGAAACUGGAAGACUUGAGUGUGUGAGAGGUAGGCGGAAUGCGUGGUGUAGCGGUGAAAUGCAUAGAUAUCACGCAGAACUCCGAUUGCGAAGGCAGGUUACUAAGCCAUAACUGACACUGAAGCACGAAAGCGUGGGGAUCAAACAGGAUUAGAUACCCGGGUAGUC